UGGCUCAGACGGUAAAGAAUCUGCCUGCAAUGCAGGAGACCCAGGUUCAAUCCCUGG
rfam:TPA: Bos taurus chromosome 25, whole genome shotgun sequence.